CCCACUUGUCUUCCGUGAGCCAUAUCUUCCUCCUCCUCCUUCCUCAAACCCAAAACAAACUCAUUUCAGCCCUCAAUUCACAAUCAUCCCCCAAAUUUCUCAUCCUACUGCACCCAUCAACCCAACCUGAGCCGGGAUGCCCCUCUAGUCCUUCAAACCCCAAAUCCCAAAAUCCAUCAUGAUUCACGUUCAAAUAACUUCCUUCUAAUUUUGCACAUUACUUCUUUUACGACAUUGUCGAGAAGACUGUCGUGUCUACCAACACAAGAUGUCAGUUUAUGCACACUUGAGUAAGAUUCAGAUCUCGACAUGAUGUCCAAGGAAGAAGAGUCAAUCUCGGCCAAGUCCUAAUUAUGGAAACUAGUACCCGCCUUAAUACCAAUACCCUCCAUAGCAAUCUUAUGCCUUAUGUUAGGAUAUAGAGUAUUAAGUCUGGCGACUAUUUGUAAUCAGUCUACCACCUUAUGGUGACUAACCUUAUGUACUUUUAGAUGAUGUAAUGCUUUGGGUUAUAAUGAAGGGUAAUAAGUCACUUUAUGGUAAAAUUUAGUAUUAUGGUA